rnacentral:rRNA from 1 species
UACGGGGGGGGCAAGCGUUGUUCGGAAUUACUGGGCGUAAAGGGCUCGUAGGUGGCCAACUAAGUCAGACGUGAAAUCCCUCAGCUUAACUGGGGAACUGCGUCUGAUACUGGAUGGCUUGAGUUUGGGAGAGGGAUGCGGAAUUCUAGGUGUAGCGGUGAAAUGCGUAGAUAUCUGGAGGAACACCGGUGGCGAAGGCGGCAUCCUGGACCAACACUGACACUGAUGAGCGAAAGCCAGGGGAGCAAACGGG